rnacentral:lncRNA from 10 species
GCUCUCUGUAAAAUGGACCAGUCAGCUCUCCGUAACAUGGACAAUCAGCAGGAUGUGGGUGGGGCCAGAUAAGGGAAGCAGGCCUCCGAAGCCAGCAGUGGCAACCCACUUGGGUCCCUUUCAAUGCUGUGGAAGCGUUGUUCUUUCACUCUUCUCAAUAAAUCUUGCUGCUGCUCACUCUUUGGGUCUGCCCCGCUGUUAUGAGCUGUAACACUCACAGCCAGUGUCUGCAGUUUCACUCCUGAAGCCAGCAAGACCACAAACCCACAGGGCGGGACAAACAACUCCGGACAGGAGGAAUGAACAACUCUGGACGCGCCACUUCUAUGAACUUUUAUGAACUGUAACACUCACCGCAAAGGUCUGCAGCUUCACCCCUGAGGCCAGGGAGACCACGAACCCACCGGAAGGAAUGAACAACUCCAGACGCACUGCCUUUAAGAGCUGUAACACUUACCACGGAUGUCUGCAGCUUCACUCCUGAAGUCAGCGAGACCACAAACCCAACAGAAGGAAGAAACUCCCGACACAUCUGAACAUCUGAAGGAACAAACUCUGGACACACCAUCUUUAAGAACUGUAACACUCACCGUGAGGGUCAACCGCUUCAUUCUUGAAGUCAGCCAGACCAAGAACCCACCAAUUCCGUCUAUCUGAAUCAUGUUAUUGGACCAUGAGAGCAAGCAGCUGGAUCUCAUUCUGUCCAGCUGCUCACAUGGAUACUACCAGCUUCAUUGUGAAUCACUGAAAAAGAGGACACAAUGCCAAGGAAUCCAAAGAGAAGGCAAUAAUGAUAAAUGCAAGUUAUCACAAAUCUCUAUGUAGCUGAAUAUCAUAUAUUGACAUUUUCUUUUUAGGUAGCACUGGUGGAUCAAGCUUAAAUAUUCCCUUUACUUCUAUAAAGGUCCUUGUCUAUCAUAUGUUGUGUAUAUUGUGAAAUCCACUGAUAGUUUUCUGUGUCCUGCAAAGUUGUAUCUUCAUUAGUCCUGCAUCAGAUAUAAGCUCCUGAUAAUUUUAUUCUGUCAACAUAGUACUCUAUGUGUAAUGAUACAU